AGAGAGUUGGAGAUGUCGCUGUCAGACGGUACCUCGGACGACGAAAUGCCCUUAAGUUUACCCGCAGAGGGCAGCGGGCACAGCGGGAGCAUCCGAAAGGGAUGUGAUCCCUUCGCCCAGACUCUCAGGAAACGGGUAGAGACACACAUUACAGUUAGUAAGAACUGAUUACCAGUCUUGGUCUUCGGCGGUUGAUCAACACAGUUCUCAAUAACAUGUUCAAAGGGCUCACCAAAAGCCGGAAAAGGACGCAACUAAAUAUUAUGCCAUUUUGACCCUUGUGUAUACUGCAUUACGGUAUUUGUUGACCACAGCAUAGUUUUUACGCUAUUAGUUAACAUUGAUUUCUCUAGCCCUCAAUUAUACGCUUUUGCAAAUUACAAGUGUCUGUGAUUCCAGUUUAAAAGACGGGACUGACGAGACCACCAUUAUUGUUUCAUACAGUAAAAUACUGUGAAUAAAUGGUGACUCAGUCGCUGCCUGAUUUCUGUU